rnacentral:rRNA from 1 species
CGCGGCCUAUCAGCUUGUUGGUGGGGCGAUGGCCUACCAAGGCGACGACGGGUAGCCGGCCUGAGAGGGCGACCGGCCACACUGGGACUGAGACACGGCCCGGACUCCUACGGGAGGCAGCAGUGGGGAAUAUUGCACAAUGGGCGGAAGCCUGAUGCAGCGACGCCGCGUGAGGGAUGACGGCCUUCGGGUUGUAAACCUCUUUCACCCAUGACGAAGCGAGAGUGACGGUAGUGGGAGAAGAAGCGCCGGCCAACUACGUGCCAGCAGCCGCGGUAAGACGUAGGGCGCGAGCGUUGUCCGGAUUUAUUGGGCGUAAAGAGCUCGUAGGCGGCUUGUCGCGUCGAAUGUGAAAUCUCAGGGCUCAACUCUGACAUUGCAUUCGAUACGGGCAGGCUAGAGUUCGGUAGGGGAGACUGGAAUUCCUGGUGUAGCGGUGAAAUGCGCAGAUAUCAGGAGGAACACCGGUGGCGAAGGCGGGUCUCUGGGCCGAUACUGACGCUGAGGAGCGAAAGCGUGGGGAGCGAACAGGAUUAGAUACCCUGGUAGUCCACGCUGUAAACGUUGGGCGCUAGGUGUGGGGGGCCUCUCCGGUUCUCUGUGCCGCAGCUAACGCAUUAAGCGCCCCGCC